GGAUCCCUACGGGAGGCAGCAGUGAGGAAUAUUGGUCAAUGGGAGAGAUCCUGAACCAGCCAAGCCGCGUGAGGGAAGACGGCCCUAUGGAUUGUAAACCUCUUUUGUCAGGGAGCAAAGGGCGCCACGUGUGGCGCUUUGCGAGUACCUGAAGAAAAAGCAUCGGCUAACUCCGUGCCAGCAGCCGCGGUAAUACGGAGGAUGCGAGCGUUAUCCGGAUUUAUUGGGUUUAAAGGGUGCGCAGGCGGAAUGUCAAGUCAGCGGUAAAAUUUCGGGGCUCAACCCCGUCGUGCCGUUGAAACUGG
rnacentral:rRNA from 1 species